rnacentral:rRNA from 1 species
CGUAGGGUGCGAGCGUUAAUCGGAAUUACUGGGCGUAAAGCGUGCGCAGGCGGUUUUGUAAGACAGAUGUGAAAUCCCCGGGCUCAACCUGGGACCUGCAUUUGUGACUGCAAGGCUAGAGUACGGUAGAGGGGGAUGGAAUUCCGCGUGUAGCAGUGAAAUGCGUAGAUAUGCGGAGGAACACCGAUGGCGAAGGCAAUCCCCUGGACCUGUACUGACGCUCAUGCACGAAAGCGUGGGGAGCAAACAGGAUUAGAUACCCCUGGUAGUCCACGCCCUAAACGAUGUCAACUGGUUGUUGGGUACUUUACUGACUCAGUAACGAAGCUAACGCGUGAAGUUGACCGCCUGGGGAGUACGGCCGCAAGGUUG